rnacentral:rRNA from 1 species
AGUGAACGCUGGCGGUAGGCCUAACACAUGCAAGUCGAACGGCAGCACAGGAGAGCUUGCUCUCUGGGUGGCGAGUGGCGGACGGGUGAGGAAUACAUCGGAAUCUACUCUGUCGUGGGGGAUAACGUAGGGAAACUUACGCUAAUACCGCAUACGACCUACGGGUGAAAGCAGGGGACCUUCGGGCCUUGCGCGAUUGAAUGAGCCGAUGUCGGAUUAGCUAGUUGGCGGGGUAAAGGCCCACCAAGGCGACGAUCCGUAGCUGGUCUGAGAGGAUGAUCAGCCCCACUGGAACUGCGACACGGUCCAGACUCCUACGGGAGGCAGCAGUGGGGGAUAUUGGACAAUGGGCGCAAGCCUGAUCCAGCCAUACCGCGUGGGUGAAGAAGGCCUUCGGGUUGUAAAGCCCUUUUGUUGGGAAAGAAAUCCAGCUGGCUAAUACCCGGUUGGGAUGACGGUACCCAAAGAAUAAGCACCGGCUAACUUCGUGCCAGCCGCCGCGGUAA